UGGGAAUUAGCAGUGCUAGAAAUUCACUGCUCCCCACUGUAUUCCCCUCUGAGAGUGCUGAACUACAGCAUUAAAUUUUCUCUUUCUUUCUCUCUCUCUUUUCAAACAGCACCAAGAAGACGGAAUGCAUAGGCAGCUAUUAGAAAAGCACUGUUAGUGCCCAAGUCAGGAAAUGCAGCUGUUAAAUCCCGAGCCAUACUGGAGCAGAGGUAUUUCAGAUGAAGCUGCCUUACAUCCCUUAACCCUUCCUCCUCUGGGAGAGAUGGAAAUUCUACUGGGAAGCCCUGGCAGGGCUUAGCACUUGCAGGGAGCAGGCAGAGCGCAGGAAUCCUCCCCCAAGCCUGGAGAUGGCAGAGCAGAAACAAUGCCUAAAGGAGGGCUGACGCUUGCUGUACAACUGACCUGAAGUGCAUAACUUGUUGGAAGUCAAUAUGCAACAAGUGAGGAUCUGCACCCCUACCAAUUGGAAAGUGCCAGAGCACCUCCAGUUUUACCUGAAAUCUUCAAAUGUGUGUUGUCACCAUAUCAGAGCCUCACCUCUCAGCCAAGCAGCUGUUAUUCCUUUUUUUGGUCUGUUUAUUUACUUGCCUACUCGUUUAGAGCAAAUGUCUUCUAGCUGUUCUAGCUGGGCAGCAAAGCUUGAAGACUCAGGGAGCAAAUAAAAGGAACUCCAACUCUAUUAUUUAAAAAGAAAACAAAAUACAUCUUAUGAUCUGCUAAGCGUGUCUCCCUGUCUGCAGCAGGCCUGGCUGGUGCUUCUGGACUGAUUGGUUGGCAGUGCUGCCAUUUCUAACAGCUUUGCAGCCUUCCCACAGGAGUGGUACGGUGGUUGAUAUGUCUCAGGCUGUGUUUCAGCCUGCUGCUGCCUUUAAAAUGGUUGAAAGUCCUUAGCAUAGGGAGCAGAGGUGCCUAAAAAUACCCUCCGUGUUGUGCCCUCUUUUCCACAGCUGCAAUUCACUCCCCAUUAUAAACAAUGUGAUAACUUAAUUCUGAUGGGUCGACUACGGUGCUUUAGUGUGCUAUAAAACACAAAUUUAGGCAGCGCAUAAAAUAAGCUUUUCCUGCCAUAUGACACAAACCACAACUGUCUGGCAUGGACACACAAGCCAGAAUCUGAAAGAAAGCAAAGCACAAAGCCAGACGCGAUCUUUGAUCAUAUGUUGUUUAAAAUUAACAGCACAGAUCAUAACCACACUUAAAUAACACAUCUGUCUGGGGGGUUAGAUAGUACCGCACAAUAUGUUCUUUUAAUUCAUUAUGCAUUUGAAUCCCUCCCAAGUAACAGGUGGUUUUCUGACAACACGGUGUGCCAAAAAAUGCUGGAGAAAGGGCUGGCUGAUUGUUAUCCUUGGAGGUGAGGAAGCACAGGUUCCUGGAGAGCAGUGAGCUCUGGUUCCCUUAACUCUUUUGCUGCUGGCUCUCCAUCAACUCCUGCAGUAAUUACUGCCCUGCCUGAAUUGUAGCACCUGCCUUCACCUCUCUGGGUUUGCUCUCCAGCUCUUAGACUGUACUGUGGGGCAGAAGCUGUGUCUCAAGACAGGGCAGUAACGGGAGCGUGGCUGGAGCUGUGCUUCCGGAGAUGGGAACCUGCUGCCCAAGGGAUUCUGGAUCACGUUCCAGUGGUGGGACUGAAUGAGCAUGCUCUUCUUCAGAGCAGGUGUCUAACAACCUUAGAGACCCUUUAUGACCACCUGGAAGGAAAUGGCACCUUGAGAGGAGGAAUCCUCCCAGGCCAUAACUAUCCAUCUCAAACAUGACUUGUUUGUCCCCAUGAACUGUGAAGUGAGUGAUGAGCUCAGAUGUUCAUGUUCACACUGCAGACAGGUUUUAGAAGGGUGUGUCCCACCCAAGCUGUUCAUAUACUGCUCAGGGCUGUGUCAACAGAGUCCUGCAUUGCCCCCUGCCCAGAGCAUGAUUUAAGGGCAUGUGGACAAGAGGCUGGGUUCCCCUGCCCCUGCCCCCCACAUGGCGUUCCACUGAACAGUGACCAUCACACGUGGAGAAGAGACUGCACAGAUGAGCCAGCCAUAGCAUGAGGCAUGGACAUGAUUAAUGGCACCUCAUUACACCUGACAGCAACUGCUAAACCUUACGAAAUUAGUCACAUCUUUUAAAAAUCUAGCUGCAGUGUCUGGAGCCCUGUACUGAUGAAUUCCCAGGCUGGCUGCACACUGUGGCCUUGCUUGGGCUGCCAAGGUAGAGCCCAGCUGAAUGGAGAAGGAAGGACUUGUGAGAAGAAUCCUGUCUUCAAUCCUUGCCCAGUGAGGUGAGCUCAGUGCUGACAGCAGAGAUGUGCGUUUCCUGAUGUCCUCACAUUAUAACAAUCAUUCAUUUUGACCUAUUCCUUGUACAAGCUGCUCCCGGAGGUGGGGGAAGCAAGGACAUGACUUCCUUUGGGCUUUGCUCAUUUUUCACCAAAUAAACUCACCAGAGGGUGAUGGAAAGCCUUUCCCUCCCUCUUGAUCCCUCCAAGGAUCAAGACUUUUGAUCCUUGUGCCCUGGGACCAGGGGAAUUGCUUCCUCUGGGUGCCUGACACAGGUUCCACCUCACCUAGUUGGACCUGCUGCAGAACAGCCAGGCUCUGUGACCUGGGAGCUGGGCAGAGCUGCUCGAGCUGCAGGCUUUCCUGCAUCUAAUGGCACAUCAGCCCUCGGGUCCUCCUGGGUCACUUAUCACAUGCUGUCUGGGCUGAGGUCUGCCCAGAACAGAUUUCCAGCUCAGUGGCCAUAGCUACUGAGAUGAGGUUCAGUAAAACAAACUUCUCAGACACAUGUUGUGAGGUUAAAGUGAGCCUAUGGAGGCACAGGAAGUUCUGGAGAGCUG
ensembl:lncRNA